rnacentral:misc_RNA from 1 species
AUCAGGACCUUCCUUUGAAUAAUCACUUGGAACAGCAAGGUAGAAUGCUACCACCUCCUUGGCCAGUGGAAACACAGUUGAGUCAUCUACCAUUGUUGUAUAAACCUAGUCCCACUUGAAUCACCUGUCAAUUAGACUUUUUGCCAGUAAUAAUAAGAGAUAUCUGGAGGCCCCUGCUGAAUGCAUCAUUAAAUAGGAUCCUUGUCUGCAGUCAUUGGAAUCCCGGCAGCCAUGACAACACUGAGCAAUGCAUAUGAGGCCCCAGACUGCGGGAAUAACUGCCAAAAGGCUGCUCACAAGAUCAAGAAAUACAAAUUUUGUGAACUUGAGUAACAGAACUAUCACAAUUAUCGUAAGUGUAAUGACUAUAAGCCGUGUUAGCCAAUAUUUCAUGUGCUCCGUUGCAGCAAAUUUGUCCUGAGCAU